rnacentral:rRNA from 1 species
UAGCGCGGGGCACGAGAAAUCUUGCGUGAAUUAGCGGGGCCCAUCCCGUAAGGCUAAAUACUCCCGAGAGACCGAUAGCGAACCAGUACCGUGAGGGAAAGGUGAAAAGAACCCCGAGCAGGGGAGUGAAAUAGACCCUGAACCCGUCUGCCUACAAGCGGUCGGAGCGUCGUAAUGACGUGACGGCGUGCCUUUUGCAUAAUGAACCUACGAGUUACCUUCCCCGGCAAGGUUAAGUACCUAAGGUACGGAGCCGAAGCGAAAGCGAGUCUGAACAGGGCGCCAAGUCGGGGGGGGUAGACGCGAAACCGAGUGAUCUACCCUUGGCCAGGUUGAAGGUUGGGUAACACCAACUGGAGGACCGGAUGGGUAAGCGUUGAAAAGCUUUCCAAUGAGCUGAGGGUAGGGGUGAAAGGCUAAUCAAACUCGGAGAUAGCUCGUACUCCCCGAAAUGCAUUUAGGUGCAGCCUCUUUAUAGUAUAUCGUGAGGUAGAGCGACUGAUUGGAUGCGAGGGCUUCACCGCCUAUCAAGUCCAGAUAAACUCCGAAUGCGCGAUAUAUAUUUACAGGGAGUGAGGGCGCGGGUGCUAAGGUCCGUGUCCGAGAGGAGAAGAAUCCAGACCACCGGCUAAGGCCCCCAAAUGAUCGUUAAGUUGAACUAACGAGGUCGGAUCGCAGAGACAGCUAGGAUGUUGGCUUGGAAGCAGCCAUUCAUUUAAAGAGUGCGUAACAGCUCACUAGUCGAGCGAUCUGGCGUGGAUAAUAAUCGGGCAUAAACGAUCUGCCGAAGCCGUGGAUGUCGCAAGACAUGGUAGGGGAGCAUUCCAUGCGGCGUCGAAGAUGAGGGAUGACCCUUGUUGGAGCGCAUGGAAAAGCAAAUGUAGGUAUGAGUAACGAUAAGGGGGGCGAGAAACCCCCCCGCCGAAAGACCAAGGUUUCCUGAUCAACGCUAAUCGGAUCAGGGUGAGUCGGGACCUAAGGCAAAGCCGAACGGCGCCGCCGAUGGAAGAAUGGGUUAAUAUUCCCAUACUGCCUCAUGGAGUGACGUGGAGACGGAGAAGUGACAGUCCUGCCGGCUGACGGAAUAGCCGGUUGAAGGGUGUAGAUAUUGAUUCCCGUAGGCAAAUCCGCGGGGAGAGUCGAACCUGAGAGUAUACGGAGCGCUUGCGCGACGUAAUAUGGACGUAACCAUGCUCCCGAGAAAAUCCGCUAAACUUAUCCAUGCGGCACCCGUACCGUAAACGGACACACGUGGUCGGGUUGAGAAUACUGAGGCGCUCGAGUGAUUCACGGUUAAGGAACUAGGCAAAUUGACCCUGUAACUUCGGGAUAAAGGGUCCUCGUCGUAAGGCGAGGCGCAGAGAAUAGGUCCAGGCAACUGUUUAACAAAAACACAUGGCUGUGCUAAAUGGAAACAUGACGUAUACAGCCUGACACCUGCCCGGUGCCGGAAGGUUAAGAGGAGAUGUCAUCCACGAGGAGAAGCGUUGAAU